rnacentral:rRNA from 1 species
GAUGAACGCUGGCGGCGUGCCUAAUACAUGCAAGUCGAGCGAACAGACGAGGAGCUUGCUCCUCUGACGUUAGCGGCGGACGGGUGAGUAACACGUGGAUAACCUACCUAUAAGACUGGGAUAACUUCGGGAAACCGGAGCUAAUACCGGAUAAUAUAUUGAACCGCAUGGUUCAAUAGUGAAAGACGGUUUUGCUGUCACUUAUAGAUUGAUCCGCGCCGCAUUAGCUAGUUGGUAAGGUAACGGCUUACCAAGGCAACGAUGCGUAGCCGACCUGAGAGGGUGAUCGGCCACACUGGAACUGAGACACGGUCCAGACUCCUACGGGAGGCAGCAGUAGGGAAUCUUCCGCAAUGGGCGAAAGCCUGACGGAGCAACGCCGCGUGAGUGAUGAAGGUCUUCGGAUCGUAAAACUCUGUUAUUAGGGAAGAACAAAUGUGUAGGUAACUAUGCACGUCCUGACGUUACCUAAUCAGAAAGCCACGGCUAACUACGUG